CCCCCGAGCGCCGUUCCGAUAUUCGGCCAGCGGAAAACUUUUCUUUUUGCCCGAAUCUGCAUCACAUCGGCAAAAAUAAAUUUUCUGAUUCAUCUCUUUCCACUCGCUCUAGGCGAUUGGUGCUGUCGUCUCGUUCGCGCUGCCGUCUGGCACCGCGGCGACGAUCAGGUGUUGCUCCGUCGGUCCCGUUCCGGCCUUCUGGCCAUUGAAACUUCGAGACCCCGUCACAUCACACUCUGCUUCCCAGAUAAAGUGUAGAAAUUGGUCGGGACAACAACAACACGGGGAAGAAAAAUGGAAAUAAGCUUCAGCUGUCCGCCACGGACGACCUAGAAAACCCUUUUGAUAAUUGUAGUCAGCACAUAUCACGCGACUUGAUAGAUUCUGUUGUUUCGUGACAAAUUUUCAUUAAACAAUAUCAUAUCAACGACAAUGAUUUGCGGAUGACCUGAAUUCCAAAGUGGUUGAUACGUAGUUGCUCCUUGACAUUCAAAUCUGGGCAGCAUCGCUACUCAAUAAUCUUGCACGAAUUAUAUUGGAUCUGAAUUGAAUAAGAUUGGACCACAAUUCAAUUAGUAAGAACUAGACUCGUGUAGAGAAACGAUUAGUGUAUUUCUGGAAUAUCGACGAUAAGGAAGCUUAAUCUACUCUUCUUCGAUGCUACUUAAAGGGUAGUGAUGGUGCAUAUAAAACAGAAUAAUCAACAUUUCUUUUGAAAUUCAAUCUUACUGAGAGAGAAAAUCAACUCGAGGAAAUUUCCUGCUUAUUAUUUGAAAUGAGUCAUUGAGACUGUCAUGAGUCACUUUCACACUAAAAGCAUUUCAAAAUAUAAACAAAUUCGUCUACCGACUUAUCGAAUCACAUGUUAUGGUUAAACAUGUUAUCUAAUAUGUCGCGAAUUGUGUUUUUUUUUCAGUUAUUUAUUCAAUAGACAAAAGUACAAUGUGCAAGGCGCGAAUAAGAUGGAAAUUGCGAUUCCCAAGGCAUUGGACCGCUGUAGGUUGCGGAAUUAAACUAAUUUAUCAGCUACUUUGAGCUAUUUAUAUACAGAGUCAUCGGUCAUGAGCCAAUUGACUACGAAAUUGGAGCUUAUCUAAGUAGGUAAUGUGAUGAUGGAAAUGUUGUUUUUGCCAUAUUCGCCACGAAGUUGUUACUUGAAAAAUGCCAUUGGGGAAGCUAUAACUCAUACGAAGUAAGCGAAAAUGUA